rnacentral:rRNA from 1 species
CCUACGGGUGGCAGCAGUGAGGAAUAUUGGUCAAUGGACGAGAGUCUGAACCAGCCAAGUAGCGUGAAGGAUGACUGCCCUAUGGGUUGUAAACUUCUUUUAUAUGGGAAUAAAAUGUUCCACGUGUGGGAUUUUGUAUGUACCAUAUGAAUAAGGAUCGGCUAACUCCGUGCCAGCAGCCGCGGUAAUACGGAGGAUCCGAGCGUUAUCCGGAUUUAUUGGGUUUAAAGGGAGCGUAGGUGGAUUGUUAAGUCAGUUGUGAAAGUUUGCGGCUCAACCGUAAAAUUGCAGUUGAAACUGGCAGUCUUGAGUACAGUAGAGGUGGGAGGAAUUCGUGGUGUAGCGGUGAAAUGCUUAGAUAUCACGAAGAACUCCGAUUGCGAAGGCAGUUCACUGGACUGCAACUGACACUGAGGCUCGAAAGUGUGGGUAUCAAACAGGAUUAGAUACCCUAGUAGUC